CCUACGGGGGGCUGCAGUGGGGAAUAUUGGACAAUGGGGGGAACCCUGAUCCAGCCAUGCCGCGUGUGUGAAGAAGGCCCUCGGGUUGUAAAGCACUUUCAGUGAGGAAGAACGCCUGGUGGUUAAUACCCAUCAGGAAAGACAUCACUCACAGAAGAAGCACCGGCUAACUCCGUGCCAGCAGCCGCGGUAAUACGGAGGGUGCGAGCGUUAAUCGGAAUUACUGGGCGUAAAGCGCGCGUAGGUGGCUUGAUAAGCCGGUUGUGAAAGCCCCGGGCUCAACCUGGGAACGGCAUCCGGAACUGUCAAGCUAGAGUGCAGGAGAGGAAGGUAGAAUUCCCGGUGUAGCGGUGAAAUGCGUAGAGAUCGGGAGGAAUACCAGUGGCGAAGGCGGCCUUCUGGACUGACACUGACACUGAGGUGCGAAAGCGUGGGUAGCAAUCAGGAUUAGAUACCCCUGUAGUC
rnacentral:rRNA from 1 species